GUAACGCCUUCAACCGCCCGCCGCGAUAGAGUGCCCACGACUGCCUCGGGAAUCCCGCUCUGCACCGCCCCACCAGACCUGGACUCGGAGCCGCGAGCGGCCUGAGAUGAGCAGCAAUGACUCCUCCCUUAUGGCUGAGAUCAUUUACUAUAGCCAGGAAAAGUACUUCCACCAUGUGCAGCAGGCUGCAGCUGUGGGCCUGGAAAAAUUCAGCAAUGACCCUGUGUUGAAGUUCUUUAAAGCCUAUGGAGUCCUCAAAGAAGGCAAUGUACUUCAUGAUGCAGCAGAACUACUCAGAGGCCCUGGAGGUGGUGAACCAGAUCACUGUGACUUCAGGGAGCUUCCUGCCAGCCCUCGUCCUGAAGAUGCGGCUGUUCUUAGCUCGGCAGGACUGGGAGCAGACAGUAGAAAUGGGACACAGAAUCCUAGAAAAAGAUGAGAGCAAUAUUGAUGCCUGCCAAAUUCUAACUGUGCAUGAGCUUGCAAGAGAAGGAAACAUGACCACAGUAAGUUCUUUGAAGACUCAGAAGGUGAUCCUUGAAACAGAGUCAAGGAGGAACCCUUCAUAACCUGUGCACCUGACCCAAAGCCCUUGUAGGGAGCCCCUGGAUCUCAGCUUCCUCUUUCCUACCCCACCCCUAUACUCGCUGCCAAGGAGGCCUGCUCUGGUUUGACUCUUUGGGUUGUGUAGCUUGGGAGUAAGGCAGCAUCAGGCAGUGAGAUUGAUGCUAGGCUCUGCCAUGUGCUAUCUGUGGAAGCCUGGGCAGGUGUCCCCACCUGGAUAAGCCUCAGGCUUCCUGUUUGUAAAAUAGACAGAAUUCCACACAGGACUAAAUGUGAUAAGAAGUGGGAGAAUUUGGAACAGUCCCUGAAACACUACAGUAAUUCCAUCAAUGUUAACUGAUAGUAGAAGUCGUGGUAGUAUUUCUGAAUUCAGGAAAUGCCUUUUUUUUUAGGGGAUAGUUGGAACUGCUCAGGCAUUGGCCAGGUAAUACUGGGCCCCAAACAUGCUCGUAAGUCUUGUAGUUUUCCAAAGAAACCAAAAAUAGCCCUCAAAUGCAGUCAGAAACACCUAGAAUUCUUAGUGAAACCUCAAUACCCAGACAGGUUCUCAUUUUCAAAAAGGUUUGUUUUUAGCCAAAGCAUUGCCUUUUAGAUGAGUGAAAUAUGUUGCCUCUAUGGAGAGCAUGGCAAACCAAGAGUCUCUAAGGGGUCAUGGUGGGAAGGGGAAGCUUCUGGUUCCUUCUGCACAGCUCUGGGAUUGUGGAUUUUGUGGGAUGGGGUGAGGUAGAGGGGAGAGUCUGUAUUUAGGAGAAAAAGGCCCCAGCCCUUUUCAUCUCUGGGUAGGAAUAAGAGAAUAGGACUAUCCUCAGCUCCCUGUGACUCUAGAUCCCUAAGCAGGCCUUCCUGGGGCCUGGCCUGAAAGUUAAUCCCAGGGGCAGACUUAGCAUUUGGCUAACUGAGAUUUAGCAUUAGCACUUAGCUGAGAUUUAGCAUUAGCCCCUUCUUUACUCCCACUUCAAACCUUGGGACCCGACCCUGGGCUGGCUACCCAGUUCUAAUUUUGUUCAUACUUACUGAACAGAGUGGACCCACACCAUCCUUGGUUUUGCUUUUGGCACUUCUCUGCAGCUGGGAACUAAGAAUUCCUUACUCCUGGGUGGGGAGUGGGAAAGAACCUAAGCUUUGGAAUCUGUCAGUGACCUAGGUGGCUGGGUGACCUCAGACCAAUUGCCUAACGUUUCUGACCUUUCGUGUGUUGGACAGGAAAGUUCGGAAAGUUUGAAUAGUUAUACUGACUUACAUUUGACUCAUGUCAAAAUGGAGCAGAGGCUUCUGGGCCAGCACAGUUAGUUUGCUGCUGGCCUGGCAGGCUUCACUGUGGACACAGUGAGGGCUAGCUCCUGGCUCUGCCUGGGUGGGUCUGAAAAGGCAUCUUGUCUUCACAAACUCAGGAACAGGGCUACUCUGUGGGUUAGCCCUGCUCCAUAAGGAGCAGUC
rnacentral:sRNA from 1 species